rnacentral:sRNA from 1 species
GCCCCAGUCACUGAGCCGCCGCCGAGGACUCAGCAGCCUCCCCCUUGAGCCCCCUCGCUUCCCGACGUUCCGUUCCCCCCUGCCCGCCUUCUCCCGCCGCCGCCGCCUUCCGCAGGCCGUUUCCACCGAGGAAAAGGAAUCGUAUCGUAUGUCCGCUAUCCAGAACCUCCACUCUUUCGGUAAGCUGUGGGAAAGGUCGCGGGCCCGGGUGGGGCAGCGGGGCCUUCUGGGCCCGGAGACGUGUUCCAGGAAGUUGCCAAGCGCUCCGGGCCUUCGUAAGCUCGGGCAGGGGAAACUUGUCCAGGGUCGCAGGGCAGCGGAAUCAAGGCCUGGACCCUAGGGUCGGACCGUGAGCGCGACCGGAAGGAGCAGGCGGGAGGUCAGCCCUUGGGCGGGCCUGGCGUGUCGGUGGCGCAUUUACUAAUGGCUCCCGGGCCUCCUCGGGCCACACCCGCCCCUCCCGUCACCAUUGCGUCAUGUCCGUUACGUUACCACCCGUUGUCACGGAUCCGGAGGGAAAGGCGGCGCCAGCCCUAAGUGGCAAGCGUGUGCACCAAUGGGGGUGGGAGGCUUAGCCCCGCCUUGGGAGCUCGGGUUCCGGCGGGUUGCAUCAGCCGGGUGGGGCACCGCCUGCCAGCCCGCACUCCCCCGACAUGUGAUCGGCUUCCCAGGGAGGGCGGGAGGCCCGGGCGUUCCCCGAGCCUGGGGAAGCUGGCCGUCCCGGACUGACCUGCUCGGGGAGAGCCAGCAAAGGACACAUUCGGCCUGGCCCAAGCCCUGACGAUUUCAGUGGUGUUUUCUGCACGCGCAAAACACCUGGGGACCGAGGGGAUGGCAGUGGCAUCCGAUCUUUGACAGCUCUGAACUAGCUUAACCUUUCUUUUCAGACCCCUUUGCUGAUGCAAGUAAGGGUGAUGACCUGCUUCCUGCUGGCACUGAGGAUUAUAUCCAUAUAAGAAUUCAACAGAGAAACGGCAGGAAGACUCUUACUACUGUCCAAGGGAUCGCUGAUGAUUACGAUAAAAAGAAACUAGUGAAGGCGUUUAAGAAAGUAGGUCUUCAGUGAGAUUGCGGGAAAGUCAUAAUGGAUUUGUCCACAAGGGGGUGCUAGCUGUGUUGUAUGUAUUGUUAGCAGAAGGGGUGAUAAAUGCAUUCAUGCUUUUGCUAGGUCUAAUUCGUUUUGUUUCGUUUGUGCUUGCAGAAGUUUGCCUGCAAUGGUACUGUAAUUGAGCAUCCGGAAUAUGGAGAAGUAAUUCAGCUACAGGGUGACCAACGCAAGAACAUAUGCCAGUUCCUCGUAGAGAUUGGACUGGCUAAGGACGAUCAGCUGAAGGUUCAUGGGUUUUAAGUGCUUGUGGUUCAUUGAAGCUUAAGUGAGGAUUUCCUUGCAAUGAGUAGAAUUUCCCUUCUGUCCCUUGUCACAAGUUUAAAAACCUCACAGCUUGUAUAAUGUAACCAUUUGGGGUCCGCUUUUAACUUGGACUAGUGUAACUCCUUCAUGCAAUAAACUGAAAAGAGCCAUGAUGUCUAGUCUUGAAGUCCCUCAUUUAAACAGAGGUCAAGCAAUAGGCGCCUGGCAGUGUCAAACCUGAAAGCAAGCAGUACCGUCAUGUUUCAGCCAAGCCCAGAGCCCUAAGAUCACAAACAACUAUGGCCGGAACCUCCUCGGCUCUCCCUCUGCAGAGUUCCCUACCCUAAGAGAAUGUUACCACCUGAACAGUCCUCGGUGAGUCUGAGAGGAAAAGGAUGGGGUAAGGCAGAAGCACCAGCUGUACUACUAGAAGGGAGUUUUUGGUGGUAGAUCCCCUGGUGUCUCCAACCUGACCAGGUGGACAGAGCUCAAAGAGGCCCCCUUCCUGCUAGAGAGGUUAUAGGACAUCUGGCUUGCCACAAAGGUCUGUUUGACCAAACAUAACCUAGCUAAGGGAUGUCCAGACAUCAGAAUGUGAGGCCAACCUUCUAUCAGAGUUAAACUUUUGACAAGGGAACAAAUCUCAAACUGAUCCAUCAGUCAUGUAGCUAGCUGUAGAGCUUGCAACUUAAUAGCAGCAGCUGCCCAAUGCCAUGUGAAGUAACAAACUGGUUUUUGGUUUUUUUUUCCCUUCAGUUUUAAUGUUAUGUGUAAUGUAUUUAAACCCUUAUUUAAAUAAAACUUGUUUUCAGAAAUA